rnacentral:rRNA from 1 species
CGAUACGGGACUCAUCCGAGGCCCCGUAAUCGGAAUGAGUACACUCUAAACCCUUUAACGAGGAUCAAUUGGAGGGCAAGUCUGGUGCCAGCAGCCGCGGUAACACCAGCUCCAAAAGCGUAUAUUAAAGUUGUUGCGGUUAAAAAGCUCGUAGUCGAAUUUGUGUCUCGCGCCGCCGGUUCAUCGCUCGCGGUGUCAACUGGCGUGUCCGCGGGACGUCCUGCCGGUGGGCUUAGCUCUUCUGGGCGGCCCAAUUUCAAUCCCACCGCGGUGCUCUUUACUGAGUGUCGAGGUGGGCCGGCACGUUUACUUUGAACAAAUUAGAGUGCUUAAAGCAGGCUAAAACAUCGCCUGAAUACUGUGUGCAUGGAAUAAUGGAAUAGGACCUCGGUUCUAUUUUGUUGGUUUUCGGAACCCCGAGGUAAUGAUUAAUAGGAACGGAUGGGGGCAUUCGUAUUGCGACGUUAGAGGUGAAAUUCUUGGAUCGUCGCAAGACGGACAGAAGCGAAAGCAUUUGCCAAAAACGCUUUCAUUGAUCAAGAACGAAAGUUAGAGGUUCGAAGGCGAUCAGAUACCGCCCUAGUUCUAACCAUAAACGAUGCCAGCUAGCGAUCCGCCGACGUUCCUCCGAUGACUCGGCGGGCAGCUUCCGGGAAACCAAAGCUUUUGGGAUCCGGGGGAAGUAUGGUUGCAAAGCUGAAACUUAAAGGAAUUGACGGAAGGGCACCACCAGGAGUGGAGCCUGCGGCUUAAUUUGACUCAACACGGGAAACCUCACCAGGCCCGGACACCGGAAGGAUUGACAGAUUGAGAG